CCCGUAGCGGAAGCGCUCGCUCCCAUCAGCAUCAUUCUCAUCACCUUCCUUUCUUCCGCUUCCACUGCUGUGAUGCUAGCUGCCUUCCCACAGGCUUUAUUCAUAAUGUCACUAAUGAUAUUGGUAGAUGGCCAAGGCGAGGAAUUUACAGUAGCCGAGAGACCUUACGUGGUCUUACUGAAGCAAAAUUUAGUCGCGCUGGGGAGCGUCCUCGGUGUCCUCCUGCUGCUGAUGAUCAUCAUGGCGGUGUGCGUCUACAAGCCUCUACCCAGGCGCUGAGCGUGUCCUCGCUCCUCAGUCACGGAGACAAAGGACUCCAAAAUCAAUAACUUGAGGGGCCACUCAAUUGUCAUCAAAUCCACCCACCAGAGAAAGGUGGGCUUCACAAUGGCUGGAGUGGCUCUGCCACUUGCCCAUUUAUUAGGGGUUACCUUGAUCCCACCUCAGGCGAUAGACUGUACAUUGUGUUUUCAAAUUGAGUUUUGUGUGAGUUUAUAUUAUUUAUUUAGAGUUAAGACUAUACCAUAUGCGAUGAAAUGCGUCUCAUUGACCUCGUGAUGUAAAUACACAUUUUGGUUGUUUACAAUGCUACCUGAGUCGUGUUUUGCUCAUUAAAUUUAAUAUGACCCAA